UGCAAGUCGAGCGAACAGACAAGGAGCUUGCUCCUUUGACGUUAGCGGCGGACGGGUGAGUAACACGUGGGUAACCUACCUAUAAGACUGGGAUAACUUCGGGAAACCGGAGCUAAUACCGGAUAAUAUUUCGAACCGCAUGGUUCGAUAGUGAAAGAUGGUUUUGCUAUCACUUAUAGAUGGACCCGCGCCGUAUUAGCUAGUUGGUAAGGUAACGGCUUACCAAGGCGACGAUACGUAGCCGACCUGAGAGGGUGAUCGGCCACACUGGAACUGAGACACGGUCCAGACUCCUACGGGAGGCAGCAGUAGGGAAUCUUCCGCAAUGGGCGAAAGCCUGACGGAGCAACGCCGCGUGAGUGAUGAAGGUCUUCGGAUCGUAAAACUCUGUUAUUAGGGAAGAACAUACGUGUAAGUAACUAUGCACGUCUUGACGGUACCUAAUCAGAAAGCCACGGCUAACUACGUGCCAGCAGCCGCGGUAAUACGUAGGUGGCAAGCGUUAUCCGGAAUUAUUGGGCGUAAAGCGCGCGUAGGCGGUUUUUUAAGUCUGAUGUGAAAGCCCACGGCUCAACCGUGGAGGGUCAUUGGAAACUGKAAAACUUGAGUGCAGAAGAGGAAAGUGGAAUUCCAUGUGUAGCGGUGAAAUGCGCAGAGAUAUGGAGGAACACCAGUGGCGAAGGCGACUUUCUGGUCUGUAACUGACGCUGAUGUGCGAAAGCGUGGGGAUCAAACAGGAUUAGAUACCCUGGUAGUCCACGCCGUAAACGAUGAGUGCUAAGUGUUAGGGGGUUUCCGCCCCUUAGUGCUGCAGCUAACGCAUUAAGCACUCCGCCUGGGGAGUACGACCGCAAGGUUGAAACUCAAAGGAAUUGACGGGG
rnacentral:rRNA from 1 species